rnacentral:rRNA from 1 species
AUGCCGGAGAGGUUCUUGGGUUUGACUAUUGACUUCAAGGGUAUGGAUUUUGAGCUCCUUCCAUUUGGUGCGGGGCGUCGAAUCUGCCCUGGAAUAACAUUGGCAAUUCGGAUGGUGCAUGUGAUGCUCGCUUCGUUGUUAAAUCAGUUUAGGUGGAGUCUCCCCGUUGAGAUGGAACAUGAUGGGAUUGAUAUGGAAGAUCAGUUUGGCAUUACACUAGCGAAGGUCGUGCCUCUUUGUAUUAUAGCAACACCAAUUUGA